rnacentral:rRNA from 1 species
GUGUCAGCAGCCGCGGUAAUACGUAGGGCGCGAGCGUUGUCCGGAAUUAUUGGGCGUAAAGAGCUCGUAGGCGGCUUGUCGCGUCUGCUGUGAAAUCCCGGGGCUUAACCCCGGGCGUGCAGUGGAUACGGGCAGGCUGGAGGCAGGCAGGGGAGAACGGAAUUCCCGGUGUAGCGGUGAAAUGCGCGGAUAUCGGGAGGAACACCGGUGGCGAGGGCGGGUCUCUGGGCCAUUACUGACGCUGAGGAGCGAAAGCGUGGGGAGCGAACAGGAUUAGAAACCCGGGUAGUCC